rnacentral:rRNA from 1 species
AAGAACCUCACCUGGGAUCGAAGCGCAGUGGACCGGGGUGGAAACAUCCGUUUCCGCAAGGACCGCUGCGGAGGUGCUGCAUGGCUGUCGUCAGUUCGUGUCCUAAGAUGUUGGGUUAAGUCCCGCAACGAGCGCAACCCUGAUCCCUAGUAGCGAGCGGGUCUAGCCGGGCACUCUAGCGAAACUGCCUCGGAUAACGUGGAGGAAGGUGGGGAUGACGUCAAGUCCUCAUGGCCUUUAUGUCCAGGGCUACACACGUGCUACAAUGCGCGGUACAAACCGUCGCAAACCCGCGAGGGGGAGCUAAUCGGAAAAAGCCGCGCUCAGUUCGGAUUGGAGUCUGCAACCCGACUCCAUGAAGCUGGAAUCGCUAGUAAUCGCAGAUCAGAACGCUGCGGUGAAUACGUUCCCGGGCCUUGUACACACCGCCCGUCACAUCACGAAAGUGGGCCGUACUAGAAGUCGGUGAGCUAACCGCAAGGAGGCAGCCGCCCAAGGUACAGCUCAUAAUUGGGGUGAAGUCGUAACGAGGUAGCCGUAGGAGAACCUGCGGCUGGAUCACCUCCUU